CCAAGAAGGAUGAAAUACCGCCACAGAGUGACAGGUGUCACCGCAUCCAGUAGGCUGAAUUCUUCCUGGGAACAGCCCUGCAGGACAAAGAGAAAGUGCAUUGGAGGUACACUGAUUGAUCUGGGGGAUACAGGAGGGAGCCCCAUCUUGUUCCUAAGGAGACUAAGAUGAUGGAUUAGAAUGAGGUCUGUUUUUGGGAAGAGGUGAACCAGGAUCACCCGGAGGACCGGCACAUGUGAGAACCCCAGGGAGUUAUUUUCUGUGCCUCAAUUGGAGCCACCUCCUCCUUCAGUGACCAUUUCCCUCAAGGACCAAGAGACCUCCUCAGAUGAGGUGUGCAUGUAUCUUCAGGGAAGGUUAUAAGUUUGGCUGUGUCCCAACAUGCUCUGAGGCAGAGGUUUGGGGCUUAGCCAGUCAGACCUCCUUUUUACCUGUCUGACUGAGACUUCCCAGCAGAGCUCUGGAAAGUCAGAGAAAAUGUCAGCUGGAGUGUUUGAGCAAGUAGAAACAGGAUGUAUUUCACACCGAAGGUAAUUACA